UACGUAGGGUGCAAGCGUUGUCCGGAAUUAUUGGGCGUAAAGAGCUCGUAGGCGGUUUGUCGCGUCUGGUGUGAAAAUCCAGGGCUUAACCCUGGACCUGCAUCGGGUACGGGCAGACUAGAGUGCGGUAAGGGAGAUCGGAAUUCCUGGUGUAGCGGUGAAAUGCGCAGAUAUCAGGAGGAACACCGGUGGCGAAGGCGGAUCUCUGGGCCGUAACUGACGCUGAGGAGCGAAAGCAUGGGGAGCGAACAGG
rnacentral:rRNA from 1 species